rnacentral:rRNA from 1 species
GAAUCCCGUCUUUGGCACGGAUGCACCAGGGCUUUUGUGAUGCGCUCUCGAAGAGUCGAGUUGUUUGGGAAUGCAGCUCAAAAUGGGUGGUGAACUCCAUCUAAAGCUAAAUAUUGGCGAGAGACCGAUAGCGAACAAGUACCGUGAGGGAAAGAUGAAAAGCACUUUGGAAAGAGAGUGAAACAGUACGCGAAAUUGUUGAAAGGGAAACGCUUGAAGUCAGUCGCGUCGACCGAGACUCAGCCUUGCCUCGGCUCGGUGUACUUCUCGGCCGACGGGUCAGCAUCAAUUUUGCCCCUCGGAUAAUGGCGAGAGAAAGGUGGCACCCUCACGGGUGUGUUAUAGUCUCCCGUCGGAUGCGAGGGUCGGGAUUGAGGAACUCGGCACGUACCGUGCUUAGGAUGUUGGCAUAAUGGCUUUAAACGACCCGUCUUGAAACACGGACCAAGGAGUCUAACAUGCCCGCGAGUGUUCGGGUGGAAAACCCGUGCGCGUAAUGAAAGUAAAAGUUGGGACCCCUGUCGUGGGGGGCACCGACGCCCGGACCAGACCUUCUGUGACGGAUCUGCGGUAGAGCGUGCAUGUUGGGACCCGAAAGAUGGUGAACUAUGCCUGAAUAGGGUGAAGCCAGAGGAACUCUGGUGGAGGCUCGUAGCGAUUCUGACGUGCAAAUCGAUCGUCAAAUUUGGGUAUAGGGGCGAAAGACUAAUCGAACCAUCUAGUAGCUGGUUCCUGCC